rnacentral:rRNA from 1 species
AUUGAACGCUGGCGGCAGGCCUAGCACAUGCAAGUCGAACGGUAACAGGAAGAAGCUUGCUUCUUUGCUGACGAGUGGCGGACGGGUGAGUAAUGUCUGGGAAACUGCCUGAUGGAGGGGGAUAACUACUGGAAACGGUAGCUAAUACCGCAUAACGUCGCAAGACCAAAGAGGGGGACCUUCGGGCCUCUUGCCAUCGGAUGUGCCCAGAUGGGAUUAGCUAGUAGGUGGGGUAACGGCUCACCUAGGCGACGAUCCCUAGCUGGUCUGAGAGGAUGACCAGCCACACUGGAACUGAGACACGGUCCAGACUCCUACGGGAGGCAGCAGUGGGGAAUAUUGCACAAUGGGCGCAAGCCUGAUGCAGCCAUGCCGCGUGUAUGAAGAAGGCCUUCGGGUUGUAAAGUACUUUCAGCGGGGAGGAAGGGAGUAAAGUUAAUACCUUUGCUCAUUGACGUUACCCGCAGAAGAAGCACCGGCUAACUCCGUG